ACACGUUUCGAAAGGAACGCUAAUACCGCAUACGUCCUACGGGAGAAAGCAGGGGACCUUCGGGCCUUGCGCUAAUAGAUGAGCCUAGGUCGGAUUAGCUAGUUGGUGGGGUAAAGGCUCACCAAGGCGACGAUCCGUAACUGGUCUGAGAGGAUGAUCAGUCACACUGGAACUGAGACACGGUCCAGACUCCUACGGGAGGCAGCAGUGGGGAAUAUUGGACAAUGGGCGAAAGCCUGAUCCAGCCAUGCCGCGUGUGUGAAGAAGGUCUUCGGAUUGUAAAGCACUUUAAGUUGGGAGGAAGGGUUGUAGAUUAAUACUCUGCAAUUUUGACGUUACCGACAGAAUAAGCACCGGCUAACUCUGUGCCAGCAGCCGCGGGAAUACGA
rnacentral:rRNA from 1 species